rnacentral:rRNA from 1 species
GUGCAGCAGUCGCGAAACCUCCGCAAUGCGGGAAACCGCGACGGGGGGACCCCGAGUGCCGUGGCAACGCCACGGCUUUUCCGGAGUGUAAAAAGCUCCGGGAAUAAGGGCUGGGCAAGGCCGGUGGCAGCCGCCGCGGUAAUACCGGCGGCCCGAGUGGUGGCCGCUAUUAUUGGGCCUAAAGCGUCCGUAGCCGGGCCCGUAAGUCCCUGGCGAAAUCCCACGGCUCAACCGUGGGGCUUGCUGGGGAUACUGCGGGUCUUGGGACCGGGAGAGGCGGGGGGUACCCCUGGGGUAGGGGUGAAAAUCCUAUAAUCCCAGGGGGACCGCCAGUGGCGAAGGCGCCCCGCUGGAACGGGUCCGACGGUGAGGGACGAAGGCCAGGGGAGC